CCCUUAGAUGUUCUGGGCGGCCCGCGCACUACAAUGGCGCUUUCAGCGAGUUCCUAUGUUGAAUUUUCCUUGGUAUUCUUGGAAGCAGCGUCUUGACUUGGGAUAGAUCCUUGUAAUUGUUGGUUUUGAACGAGGAAUUCCUUGUAAUCGCGGUUGAUCAGCUCGCGUUGAAUACGUCCCUGCCCUUUGUACACACCGCCCGUCGCUCCUACCGAUGAAUCGUCCGGUGAAGUUCACAGAGUGGCGGUUCGUGGAGUUGCUCGCGAAGUGAAAUGGACCUCACGAUUUAGAGGAAGGAGAAGUCGUAACA
rnacentral:rRNA from 1 species